UACGUAGGGUGCGAGCGUUAAUCGGAAUUACUGGGCGUAAAGCGUGCGCAGGCGGCUUUGCAAGACAGAUGUGUAAUCCCCGGGCUCAACCUGGGAACUGCAUUUGUGACUGCAAGGCUAGAGUACGGCAGAGGGGGAUGGAAUUCCGCGUGUAGCAGUGAAAUGCGUAGAUAUGCGUAGGAACACCAAUGGCGAAGGCAAUCCCCUGGGCCUGUACUGACGCUCAUGCACGAAAGCGUGGGGAGCAAACAGG
rnacentral:rRNA from 1 species